rnacentral:rRNA from 1 species
UUAAGUGAAUAAGGGCGCACGGUGGAUGCCUUGGCACUAGGAGCCGAUGAAGGACGGGACUAACACCGAUAUGCUUUGGGGAGCUGUAAGUAAGCUAUGAUCCAGAGAUUUCCGAAUGGGGGAACCCAAUAUCUUUUAUAGGAUAUUACUUUUCAGUGAAUACAUAGCUGAUUAGAGGUAGACGCAGAGAACUGAAACAUCUUAGUACCUGCAGGAAGAGAAAGAAAAUUCGAUUCCCUGAGUAGCGGCGAGCGAAACGGGAAGAGCCCAAACCAACAAGCUUGCUUGUUGGGGUUGUAGGACUCCAAUAUGGUAGUCUGUUAGUAUAGUUGAAGGAUUUGGAAAAUUCCGCUAAAGAGGGUGAAAGCCCCGUAGACGAAAUGCUAACAACACCUAGGAGGAUCCUGAGUACGGCGGAACACGAGAAAUUCCGUCGGAAUCCGCGGGGACCAUCCCGCAAGGCUAAAUACUCCCUAGUGACCGAUAGUGAACCAGUACCGUGAGGGAAAGGUGAAAAGCACCCCGGAAGGGGAGUGAAAUAGAUCCUGAAACCGUGUGCCUACAACAAGUCAAAGCUCGUUAAUGAGUGAUGGCGUGCCUUUUGUAGAAUGAACCGGCGAGUUACGAUUGCAUGCGAGGUUAAGUCGAAGAGACGGAGCCGCAGCGAAAGCGAGUCUGAAUAGGGCGAAUGAGUAUGUAGUCGUAGACCCGAAACCAUGUGAUCUACCCAUGUCCAGGUUGAAGGUGCGGUAAAACGCACUGGAGGACCGAACCCACGUACGUUGAAAAGUGCGGGGAUGAGGUGUGGGUAGCGGAGAAAUUCCAAACGAACUUGGAGAUAGCUGGUUCUCUCCGAAAUAGCUUUAGGGCUAGCCUCGGAAUUGAGAAUGAUGGAGGUAGAGCACUGUUUGGACUAGGGGCCCAUCUCGGGUUACCGAAUUCAGAUAAACUCCGAAUGCCAUUCAUUUAUAUCCGGGAGUCAGACUGCGAGUGAUAAGAUCCGUAGUCGAAAGGGAAACAGCCCAGACCACCAGCUAAGGUCCCAAAAUAUAUGUUAAGUGGAAAAGGAUGUGGGGUUGCACAGACAACUAGGAUGUUGGCUUAGAAGCAGCCACCAUUUAAAGAGUGCGUAAUAGCUCACUAGUCGAGUGACCCUGCGCCGAAAAUGUACCGGGGCUAAACAUAUUACCGAAGCUGUGGACUACACCAUUAGGUGUAGUGGUAGGAGAGCGUUCUAAGGGCGUUGAAGGUCGAUCGUGAGGACGGCUGGAGCGCUUAGAAGUGAGAAUGCCGGUAUGAGUAGCGAAAGACAGGUGAGAAUCCUGUCCACCGUAUGACUAAGGUUUCCUGGGGAAGGCUCGUCCGCCCAGGGUUAGUCGGGACCUAAGCCGAGGCCGAUAGGCGUAGGCGAUGGACAACAGGUUGAUAUUCCUGUACCAGUUGUUUUUGUUUGAGCAAUGGAGGGACGCAGUAGGCUAAGGAAUGCAUGCGAUUGGAAGUGCAUGUCCAAGCAAUGAGUCUUGAGUAGAGUUAAAUGCUUUACUCUUUAAGGACAAGUUGUGACGGGGAGCGAAAUAAUAGUAGCGAAGUUCCUGAUGUCACACUGCCAAGAAAAGCUUCUAGUGAGAAAACAACUGCCCGUACCGUAAACCGACACAGGUAGUCGAGGAGAGUAUCCUAAGGUGAGCGAGCGAACUCUCGUUAAGGAACUCGGCAAAAUGACCCCGUAACUUCGGGAGAAGGGGUGCUGACUUCGGUCAGCCGCAGUGAAUAGGCCCAAGCGACUGUUUAUCAAAAACACAGGUCUCUGCAAAAUCGUAAGAUGAAGUAUAGGGGCUGACGCCUGCCCGGUGCUGGAAGGUUAAGAGGAUGGGUUAGCUUCGGCGAAGCUCAGAAUUGAAGCCCCAGUAAACGGCGGCCGUAACUAUAACGGUCCUAAGGUAGCGAAAUUCCUUGUCGGGUAAGUUCCGACCCGCACGAAAGGCGUAACGAUUUGGGCACUGUCUCAACGAGAGACUCGGUGAAAUUUUAGUACCUGUGAAGAUGCAGGUUACCCGCGACAGGACGGAAAGACCCCAUGGAG